CAUAACCAAAAAUUACAAUUGGGUUUAAUGUAGGUGUUGUAAUUAAACGAACAUCGCCACCACCUGGUGCCCAAGUAUCAUAAACACCACCAAUGUACAUUGCUUUAGCAACUAAUAAAAAAGCACCACUACCUAAAAGACAUAAAUGAAUCCCUAGAAUAGUUGUCAUCUUGUUUUUAUCACGCCA
rnacentral:antisense_RNA from 16 species